rnacentral:rRNA from 1 species
CAGCCGCCGCGGUAAAACGUAGGGUGCAAGCGUUAAUCGGAAUUACUGGGCGUAAAGCGUGCGCAGGCGGUUCGCUAAGACAGAUGUGAAAUCCCCGGGCUUAACCUGGGAACUGCAUUUGUGACUGGCGGGCUAGAGUAUGGCAGAGGGGGGUAGAAUUCCGCGUGUAGCAGUGAAAUGCGUAGAGAUGUGGAGGAAUACCGAUGGCGAAGGCAGCCCCCUGGGCCAAUACUGACGCUCAUGCACGAAAGCGUGGGGAGCAAACAGGAUUAGAUACCCGCGUAGUCCCUGUCUCUUAUAA